rnacentral:lncRNA from 1 species
AACUCUGGACACAAAUAAGAAUAAUAAAAGCUUUAUAUUACAAGCCAGGGGCCUCAAGGGCUCAAAUACAUAAGCUCGAAAACACAAGAGACAGCGAAAGCAAAAUAUCUAAGUACAGACAUAAGUUAAACAAGUUUGCCUUAAAAAGGCUAGCACAAAAGUAGCAACGAUCGAAAAGGCAAGGCCUCCUGCCUGGGACCUCCUAACUACUCAAAGUCGAACUCCACGUAGAAUCAUCCUCGGGAUCCUCUGGCUCCUGGACUCCAACAUAUGAUCGCAAUAACCGGGAAAGGGGGAAAAAGAAAAAGCAAAGCAACUGUGAGUACUCAUCCAAAGUACUCGCAAGCAAGGAUCUACACUGCAUAUGCAUCGGUAUCAAUGAAAUGGGUAGUAUCUAUGGACUGAAUUGCAGAAUGCUAGAAUAAGAGAGGGAUAGCUAGUCUUAUCGAAGACUACGCUUCUGGCAUCCUCCAUCUUAAAGCAUGUAGAAGAGAGUAGCAAGUACAACAUCAAGUAGAAUCGCAUAGCAUAAUCCUACCCGACGAUCCUCUCCUCAUCGCCCUGUGAGAGAGCGAUCACGGGGUUGUAUCUGGCAUUUGAAAGGGUGUGUUUAUUAAGUAUCUGGUUCUAGUUGUCAUAAGUUCGAAGUACAACUCCGGGUCGUCCUUUUACAAAGGGACACGACUAUUCGAAUGGAUCAACUUCCCUGCAAGGAUGCACCACAUAACCCAACACGCUCGAUCCCUCAGGCCGGACAUACUUUCCUGGGUCAUGCCCGGCCUCAGAAGAUCAACACAUCGCAGCCCCACCUACGCACAACAGAGAGGUCAACACGGCGGUCUAAAUCCUAUGCGCAGGGGUCUGGGCCCAUAGCCCAUUGCACACCUACACGUUGCGUACGCGGCCGGUAAGCAGACCUAGCCUCCCUAAUACAAGAGCAGGCGUUCCAGUCCAAUCCAGCGCGCGUCGCUCAGUCGCUGACGUCAAGAAGGCUUCGGCUGAUACCACGACGUCGAGUGUCCAUAACUGUUUCCGCGUAGUUGGUUAGUGCGUAUAGGCUCGUAGCCAGACUCAGAUCAAAUACCAAGAUCUCGUUAAGCGUGUUAUUUUGAAGUAACCGCGGACGCUGACCAGGGACCAGGCCCACCUCUCACCUAGGUGGUCUCAACCUGCCCUGUCGUUCCGCCAUAAAGAUCCACUCAGAGGGCCGUCGGGACAAAUGUCCUUUCAACCCCCAAUCCGUGAAUCACUCGCGGGUACUCUACAAGCCGACCCGACUUUAGUCACCACAUGUAGCAUAUAUUAUGUAUGUAAGUAUAUACCCAUGAUCACCUCCCGAGUGAUCACGACCCGAUAGUAUAGCAUGGUAGACGGACAAGAAUGUAGGGCCACUGAUGAUAAACUAGCAUACUAUACUAAGCAUUUAGGAUUGCAGGUAAAGGUACAACAGUACUAGCAAAGACAGGCUAUGCAGUAGAAUAUGAUUAACCAAAAGCAGUAACAUGCUACACUACUCUAAUGCAAGCAGUAGAGAGAAGGAAUAGGCGAUAUCGGGUUGAUCAAGAGGGGCUUGCCUGGUUGCUCUGUAGACAGAAACGGACCCUCAAAGGUGAAGUAGUCGAUCACUGGUUCAACUGCGGUCUCGGGGCCAACCGGAAAGAAAUAACGGUGGAGGACAACAAUAAAUAACAGAGCAAUCAACGCAUCACAAAGGAAGACAUGGCAAUACGCAGCGCUAGCGGUGACCUAACUCAAUGCUACACGUUACAGACGGAGCGGGGAAAUGUUUGGGGAUGUUUUCCCGGUGUUAGGCAUUUUUCGGGCACAAUAAAAGAGGGGGGGUUCCUUUUUCAGCAUGCUAGGGGCAUGUGACAGAUGAACGGGUUGCAUAAACGGAUUCGUUGGAUUUUUCUGAACAACUUUCAUAUAUAAAUUAUUUUCAUUCGAGG